rnacentral:rRNA from 1 species
UACAGAGGGUGCGAGCGUUGUCCGGAAUCACUGGGCGUAAAGGGCGCGUAGGCGGCCUGAUAAGUCGGGGGUGAAAUUCUGCGGCUUAACCGCCGGACGGCCUUCGAGACUGUCGGGCUUGAGCACGGUAGAGGCAGGUGGAAUUCCCGGUGUAGCGGUGGAAUGCGUAGAGAUCAGGAGGAACACCGGUGGCGAAGGCGGGUCUCUGGGCCGAUAUUGACGCUGAGGAGCGAAAGCGUGGGGAGCAAACAGG